rnacentral:rRNA from 1 species
CUGAAAUGCGCAGCUACACAUGCAGUCGAGCGGAUGAGGAGAGCUUGCUCCUCUAGAUUCAGCGGCGGACGGGUGAGUAAUGCCUAGGAAUCUGCCUGGUAGUGGGGGACAACGUUUCGAAAGGAACGCUAAUACCGCAUACGUCCUACGGGAGAAAGUGGGGGAUCUUCGGACCUCACGCUAUCAGAUGAGCCUAGGUCGGAUUAGCUAGUUGGUGGGGUAACGGCUCACCAAGGCGACGAUCCGUAACUGGUCUGAGAGGAUGAUCAGUCACACUGGAACUGAGACACGGUCCAGACUCCUACGGGAGGCAGCAGUGGGGAAUAUUGGACAAUGGGCGAAAGCCUGAUCCAGCCAUGCCGCGUGUGUGAAGAAGGCCCUCGGGUCGUAAAGCACUUUAAGCUGGGAGGAAGGGUUGUAACCUAAUACGUUGCAGCUUUGACGUUACCAGCAGAAUAAGCACCGGCUAACUCUGUGCCAGCAGCCGCGGUAAUACAGAGGGUGCAAGCGUUAAUCGGAAUUACUGGGCGUAAAGCGCGCGUAGGUGGCUUGGUAAGUUGAAUGUGAAAUCCCCGGGCUCAACCUGGGAACUGCAUCCAAAACUGCCUGGCUAGAGUACGGUAGAGGGUGGUGGAAUUUCCUGUGUAGCGGUGAAAUGCGUAGAUAUAGGAAGGAACACCAGUGGCGAAGGCGACCACCU